AGCGAACGCUGGCGGCAGGCCUGACACAUGCAAGUCGAACGAACUCUUCGGAGUUAGUGGCGGACGGGUGAGUAACACGUGGGAACGUGCCUUUAGGUUCGGAAUAACUCAGGGAAACUUGUGCUAAUACCGAAUGUGCCCUUCGGGGGAAAGAUUUAUCGCCUUUAGAGCGGCCCGCGUCUGAUUAGCUAGUUGGUGAGGUAAAGGCUCACCAAGGCGACGAUCAGUAGCUGGUCUGAGAGGAUGAUCAGCCACAUUGGGACUGAGACACGGCCCAAACUCCUACGGGAGGCAGCAGUGGGGAAUCUUGCGCAAUGGGCGAAAGCCUGACGCAGCCAUGCCGCGUGAAUGAUGAAGGUCUUAGGAUUGUAAAAUUCUUUCACCGGGGACGAUAAUGACGGUACCCGGAGAAGAAGCCCCGGCUAACUUCGUG
rnacentral:rRNA from 1 species